AACGUUAGUCUCGAUUUUAUGACUCCUGAAAUCUAAUCUCGCGGGUGAGAUCGAGCGAGAACAAAAGAGAGUUUGCACGCUUCUAUUGCUUAUUGUGGAUAUUAUAUGACAGCGUACAUUCUAAAUGAUAUGCGGAGAUUACGUUCAUGAGGCUCGAUCGAUUCAGAAGCUGAGUAUGGAGCGAUAAGGGGAAGGGGAAAGAGGAAAGAGAAGGUACACAAUGUACGCUUGUUGCGGAUUGCUGUUUCACAUUCCGACAUAAUAGUCCUGAGAGGACGUAGCAGUUUUUUUUCGAGAACGUGCAGCAAUUUUUCUAUUAUGCUAAAUUCAAUAAAACCAAUGGUCUUUAGUAUCAUCUCGCUGGUACCCAAAUAUCAACAUGUCCGAAUCGUAGCAAUUCGUGCCAAAACGCGAAGAAUUAUUAUAAUAUGAAAGUUUGUAUAUAGUACGUACUACACUAAAAAAUUGAGGCAUAAUUUUAUUCUUUCUUUGAAAAAGUAGAGAAAUUUCAAGUCGUUCUUCUCUGAUGAAGUGGAUUGAAAUGUUCGCGAAAUGUCGGAAUCAGACAAAGAAGAAUCCACGCGGUUUAAACUUGGAUACUAAAUCUAAUAUUCAUAGACAUUGUGAAAGUUUCAAAUGUAAAAAAAGAGUGUAAUUUGUAUGAUGAUAAUGAUAUUGAGACAGUUUUAAGAAAAAAUUUUACAGCUCUCUUGAAAUUUUAACUUCUCAGACUUAUCUUCAAAUAAUGAUUUUAUUUAUUUAUUAUGGAUUUGCAGAUGUAUACAAAUUAAGAUCCAUCAAAUUUUGAAAGUUUUAAUGAAUUUUCUCAAGUUCGGGGUUAAACAAAGAACUAACCAGCUACAAUGAUUUUUAAAAUAUAUCUUUCAUCUUCAACGAUUUUGUACAAAAAAUGUUCGCUCUAUUCCAUUGUAGCAGAGCCGUCGCAUAGUACAAGAUAAGACUUAAGGGAGAGGGAGGGUGCUUUCGUAAUAUGCACACACACAUACACGCACACACGCGCGCGCGCGUGUGAAAGCCGCGCACACCGCAGUCAUCUGUUGUAAUUACAUUAAAAGAUAUGUGAUCCCUUCCGUUUAACUCAACUAGUGCAGCCACAGAUAUCUAUAUUAUACUAUAUCGUACUACAUAUACGUACAUGUCUAUAUUAUACUACAUCGUACUACAUGUACAUAUCUACAUUAUACUAACUUGAGGCUUUGACGUAUAAAAUGACUGAACAGGAUUUCCGAUUUCGGCCAUGAUACCUUACAACAAAAUAGCCACUUCCGUUUUUUUAA